rnacentral:rRNA from 1 species
GCGAGUGGCGAACGGGUGAGUAAUGCGUCGGAACGUAUCCAAUAAUGGGGGAUAACGCAGCGAAAGCUGUGCUAAUACCGCAUACGCCCUCCGGGGGAAAGCAGGGGCUCGUAAGACCUUGCGUUAAUGGAGCGGCCGACGUCUGAUUAGCUAGUUGGUAGGGUAAAGGCCUACCAAGGCGACGAUCAGUAGCUGGUCUGAGAGGAUGAUCAGCCACACUGGGACUGAGACACGGCCCAGACUCCUACGGGAGGCAGCAGUGGGGAAUUUUGGACAAUGGGCGCAAGCCUGAUCCAGCCAUUCCGCGUGAGUGAAGAAGGCCUUCGGGUUGUAAAGCUCUUUCAGGAGGGAAGAAACGGUCUUAGCUAAUACCUAAGACUAAUGACGGUACCUUCAGAAGAAGCACCGGCUAACUACGUGCCAGCAGCCGCGGUAAUACGUAGGGUGCGAGCGUUAAUCGGAAUUACUGGGCGUAAAGCGUGCGCAG